CAAAGGUGGAAAAUAAGCUGAA
rnacentral:siRNA from 1 species